GCUCGAAUGCGCGUGCGCGAGAAAGAUCUUUCCAUCUCCCAUCACUGAUCAUAACUAUAACCCAUAACGUGCAACAGCCGACUCAACGUGUUCCGUCUUGUUUUCAAGCGAAAUUGUAAUCUUUGAAGUCUUGUGGUAGCAAAUUCCUAGCAAAAUCCGUGGAAAUAAUUUAAUAGCCAAUAUAAGAAAAGGAGCAUUGUUAUAUUAUAAUUCAAAAUGGAGGAUACUGCAAAACCACCACUAUUUUGCUGAAGUUUGGUAAUACAGCUGAUCUAGAUAAACCCGAAAAUUACGUGAGGCGCUGGUUUAGCACAAGUGCUCAGCGAGUGGUGUAAAUGCGUUUCAUAAAAAUAGAUAUUGCUAAAAUGUGAUAUACAGGGUGAUUCAGAAUAACCCGUUGUCUUUCAAGGAACGUAUUCCUGGUCGAAUUCUAAGACGAUUUUUCCUUUGCCAAAAAUUUG